GACCCCUGAAGAAUAAAGAAAAGUCUACAAAUGUUACAAAUCAAAAGAAAGCACUUAGAAUUUCAUUAUAUUGAAACUAGAAGAGAUCCCUCCACCCUCCAAAACCUCCUAGUCCAACCUCUCUGCUCUAGAGGAAAUAAAGAGAUGUAACAAAGGGAAGAAGCUUACUUACCAGAGGGAAUAUAGUGAGUUUAGUGGCCUGGGUGAUGUUAGAACACAAGUUUUCUAAUCAUCUACUGUCUCUCUUUCUCUCUUAGUAGGCACUAUCCAGUAGCACUUUCGGUAAUGCUGGAAUUGUUCUAUGUCUGUGCCGGCCAAGAUGGUAGCCACUAUCCACAUGUGGCUAUUAAGGACUUGAAAUGUGGCCAGUACAACCGAGGCAAUGCAUUUUUAAUUUAAUUUAAUUUUAAUUAAUUUCAAUUUAAGUAGACACAUAUGGUUAGUGGGUACUGUAUUGGAUAACACAGUUCUGGAAUAUGCCAGCUAGGUCAAGGAAAAUAAAACCAGUAACAUCAAAUAAUUUUCUAUUAAACUGGAAGAUCUUGAAUUACCUGAUAGUAACCUUUCAGGACAGGGAUAACAAAGAAAGAAGGAAAUACGAUAUGCUUGGUUUCAGUUAAUGGAAAACAACAACAACAAUUCAAGCUACGAUGCAUAAUAAAGAAGAUGAAUGAUUUCUUUUUUAUAAUUUUUUUUGUUACGUUUAUUUUUGAGAGAGACAGAGACUGAGUGGGGGAGAGGCAAAGAAAAAGAGGGAGACACAGAAUCCAAAGCAGGCUCCAAGCUGUCAAUAGAGAGACUGACGCGGUGCUCGAAUUCAUGAACCAUGAGAUCCUGAGUGGAAGUUGGACACUUAAUCCACUGAGCCACCCAGGCGUCCCAAAAAUGAAUGAUUUCUUAAAGGUUGAGAGUUCACAGUAGCGCAUCCUACGGCAGGCUCUCCACAAUGGAUCAAGCAUAGCUGCCCACAGCUGUCUCAGUUAUGAGCUUCUCCAUCCACAUAAUGGCAACGGAAAGAACUGUUUUGAUUUCUGUCAGAUGAGCAAGGAAGAUUCUUUUUCAGCUUCCACUAGCAAACCACUUCUCGUAUGGCUUUAAUUUAACUUGGGUCACUUACUGCUCCUGGUAAUCAAUGACUUGAGCCAGGUACCUGGCUUGGCCGAGGGAAAAAAGAUCAUAUUGCUAGGCUUAGAGCCACACCACACUCUCCACGCCCAAAUCAAGAAAGAAAUCAGUUUCUGCCAGAAAAGAUGCAUGGAGUGAGAGUACCCCAAUCCAUCCACAUCUGAUUGGAUCAGGAAAAUAAAACACCUAACUCAAAUAAGCAUCAACCAUAGUUUGGCCACAGAUCUGGAAAUGAAGAGAAAAGUGCAAUUUCCAGAAGUUCCGAGAUCCAGUCUUAUAGCCAUGCUUGGAGCCCAGAGAUUGGCGCUUAGAUAUUCAAGUAUUUGUUGAAGGAAUGAAUGAGUGAAUGAAUGAACAGAGGCUUCGUGACUUCAAGAGACCUCAGUGUAGGAGACUUUCACUCUAUGUCUUGCUUUCACCAAUUAUACUACAGAUACUUGUC